rnacentral:rRNA from 1 species
AUACCCGCUCCGCGAGUGGUGGGGACUUUUACUGGGCUUAAAGCGCCCGUAGCCGGCUGGGUGUGUCCUCCGUUAAAUCCACAGGCCUAACCUGUGGGCUGCGGGGGAUACUACCCGGCUUGGGGGUGGGAGAGGGCGGCGGUAUUCCCGGGGUAGGGGUAAAAUCCACUGAUCCCGGGAGGACCACCAGUGGCGAAGGCGGCCGCCCAGAACACGCCCGACGGUGAGGGGCGAAGCUGGGGGAGCAAACGGGAUUAGAUACCCUAGUAGUCC